rnacentral:lncRNA from 1 species
UGGGCGUAUGUGGGUGUUCGACCAGAGAAGAGAAAGAAGGGGGAAACCCCUUCUCAAACCCUAAUCGACCAAAUUGGAUGGAUUUUGGCUGAAAUCAAACUUGCAUGAACAAGAUUCUCGAUUGUUCAACUCUGUAAAACACAUGGAAUCCCAAUUGACAUGGACUCAAGAAUAGAAGGCUAACGGAUCAAGGGUAAAUAAAGAAGCUAUGCACAACUCGGACACACGAUGUAUUGCACGUAUCUCUACCACUACUAUCGAAGAUAAGCAUGCAUUGAUCGAGCCCAAAAUUAAAGAUUGUACGGGAAGAACGGCCACAUAGUCUGAUUUAUGUAUUGUCUUGAAGCGUUACCUUAAUGUGGUUAUUGUUAAUCCCUUUUUUGUAAAUGUUUAUCAUUUGUAUUUGAGCUUUUAAAUAAGUAAUGGGUCUAAAUAAGAAAGAAACUUUUUGGGCUCAUAUUUUCCGCUGCGUCAUGUUUAAGUUCUUACAGGGAAUUGUUCAUUAUACGAACGGGUCAUGCCCGAAUUUUGUAAAUAAUAAUACUUAUUUGGAAUAAGAAUUAUGGGCGUUACAAGUUGGUAUCAGAGCCCUGGUUUGAGGGAAAUCAAGUAUGAGGAGGUAAAUACUUGAACUCAAACCUACGUGCUCUUGAAACCAGGAACCCGUACAAUCCAGGACUCGAUCAAGAUCUAAAGGUAAAAGCGAAUAUAAGUAUGUAUUUAUGCAUGUGAAUAAAGAAACUAACGGUUUUGUAUGUGCAAGGUAAGCAUAAGUGUUUGAAAAGAAUGGUCCGUGGAUGCAGAAUAAGAUGAAUACUAAGCAGGCAAAGAUGCAAAUAGGCAAAUUAACCCCAGGUACACGCUAUUAAUAUGUAUGGGUAC